GUGCUUCCUUCAUCUGCAUGUGUACGAUGAAAUGAUAUAGAGAGAUUAGCAUGGCCUAUGGGCAAGGAUAAAAUACAAAUAAUGAAGCUUUCCUUAUUUUU
rnacentral:snRNA from 1 species